rnacentral:rRNA from 1 species
AUUGAACGCUGGCGGCAGGCUUAACACAUGCAAGUCGAGCGGGGACUUCGGUCCUAGCGGCGAACGGGUGAGGAAUGCUUGGGAAUCUGCCUUGUAGUGGGGGAUAACGUUUCGAAAGGAACGCUAAUACCGCAUACGUCCUACGGGAGAAAGGGGGGGAUCUUCGGACCUCUCGCUAUAAGAUGAGCCCAAGUCGGAUUAGCUAGUUGGUGGGGUAAAGGCUCACCAAGGCGACGAUCCGUAGCUGGUCUGGGAGGAUGAUCAGCCACACUGGAACUGAGACACGGUCCAGACUCCUACGGGAGGCAGCAGUGGGGAAUAUUGGACAAUGGGCGAAAGCCUGAUCCAGCCAUGCCGCGUGUGUGAAGAAGGCCUUCGGGUUGUAAAGCACUUUAAGCGAGGAGGAAUGGCUCUGGGUUAAUACCCUUGAGCAGUGACGUUACUCGCAGAAUAAGCACCGGCUAACUCUGUGCCAGCCGCCGCCGUAA